rnacentral:rRNA from 1 species
UGGGCGGGACGGGUGAGUAUGUCUGGGAAACUGCCCGAUGGAGGGGGAUAACUACUGGAAACGGUAGCUAAUACCGCAUAACGUCGCAAGACCAAAGAGGGGGACCUUCGGGCCUCUUGCCAUCGGAUGUGCCCAGAUGGGAUUAGCUAGUAGGUGGGGUAACGGCUCACCUAGGCGACGAUCCCUAGCUGGUCUGAGAGGAUGACCAGCCACACUGGAACUGAGACACGGUCCAG